rnacentral:rRNA from 1 species
GAUGAACGCUGGCGGCGUGCCUAAUACAUGCAAGUCGAGCGAACGGACGAGAAGCUUGCUUCUCUGAUGUUAGCGGCGGACGGGUGAGUAACACGUGGAUAACCUACCUAUAAGACUGGGAUAACUUCGGGAAACCGUAGCUAAUACCGGAUAAUAUUUUGAACCGCAUGGUUCAAAAGUGAAAGACGGUCUUGCUGUCACUUAUAGAUGGAUCCGCGCUGCAUUAGAUAGUUGGUAAGGUAACGGCUUACCAAGGCAACGAUGCAUAGCCGACCUGAGAGGGUGAUCGGCCACACUGGAACUGAGACACGGUCCAGACUCCUACGGGAGGCAGCAGUAGGGAAUCUGCCGCAAUGGGCGAAAGCCUGACGGAGCAACGCCGCGUGAGUGAUGAAGGUCUUCGGAUCGUAAAACUCUGUUAUUAGGGAAGAACAUAUGUGUAAGUAACUGUGCACAUCUUGACGGUACCUAAUCAGAAAGCCACGGCUAACUACGUG